rnacentral:rRNA from 1 species
AUGGAGAGAGUAUCGACCACAUUGGCCAUGCCAAGCAACCGGAGGUUUGUGCUGGAUGUCACGGGCAGGGUCACCGCAGAGAUGGUCCGGUCAUUCCUCGAGUUCUCGACCCAGCGGGUGUCCGCUAGUGCACGAAUGAGCAUUGUCGUUGCCCGUGACGAAAUCACCGAAAGGGGUCUCGUCGCCAUCAAGUACCUGAGCGCCAAGUCCAUGGCCAGCUUCACCUUAUGCCUCACAAUGUGCAUGCACAUUUCAGUUGGAAUGAGGUUCCCGUUGCCGGCCUAG